CUAUAGAUUUAAGAGCAUAAAGUCUUUUUGACCCCUGCUGGACUUUGUAAAUAAUAAAGCGGUGAAGUUUUGAAGUCCCAGACAUCACAGCUGGGCAGCAGGUCCAGUUUGAGAGAUGAUUCAACAGAGAUUUGCUUUUGGAAAAGGGGGGGGAUACACUGUGACGCAAACACACAAAAAAGAGAUUUAUCAGGGCAAGCAUACCGUGUGCUAGUCUGCACUGAUGGGCUCUCUGAUUCACACGGAGACACCAAAAGACCCCAAUCAUACUGAACCAAAACACAGCUGCUGCUGCCUCCGAUGUAAGCCGGGAUGUGUCUGAAUCACUGUGCUGCUACUGAU